rnacentral:rRNA from 1 species
UACGUAGGGGGCAAGCGUUAUCCGGAAUUACUGGGUGUAAAGGGAGCGUAGACGGUUAAGUAAGUCUGGAGUGAAAGGCCGGGGCCCAACCCCGGGACUGCUCUGGAAACUAUUGAACUUGAGUGCAGGAGGGGCAGGCGGAAUUCCUGGUGUAGCGGUGAAAUGCGUAGAUAUUAGGAGGAACACCAGUGGCGAAGGCGGCCUGCUGGACGGUGACUGACGCUGAGGCUCGAAAGCGUGGGGAGCAAACAGG